UAAAUUAAUUAGGUUAAGACCCA
rnacentral:siRNA from 1 species